rnacentral:rRNA from 1 species
CCUACGGGAGACUGCAGUGAGGAAUAUUGGUCAAUGGGCGCGAGCCUGAACCAGCCAAGUCGCGUGAGGGAAGACGGUCCUAUGGAUUGUAAACCUCUUUUGUCGGGGAGCAAAAGACGCCACGCGUGGCGUUCCGAGAGUACCCGAAGAAAAAGCAUCGGCUAACUCCGUGCCAGCAGCGGCGGUAAUACGGAGGAUGCGAGCGUUAUCCGGAUUUAUUGGGUUAAAAGGGUGCGCAGGCGGAAGAUCAAGUCAGCGGGAAAAUUGAGAGGCUAAACCUCGUCGAGCCGUUGAAACUGGUUUUCUUGAGUGAGCGAGAGGUAUGCGGAAUGCGUGGUGUAGCGGUGAAAUGCAUAGAUAUCACGCAGAACUCCGAUUGCGAAGGCAGCAUACCGGCGCUCAACUGACGCUCAUGCACGAAAGUGUGGGUAUCGAACAGGAUUAGAUACCCUGGUAGUC